rnacentral:lncRNA from 1 species
GUAAUGUACAAAAAAUUUUAUUCUUUCCAAAUUCAACAAAAUUCUCUUCCUAUGCAUCAGACUAUGUUUACUGACCCAGACUCAAUUGAUUCUGGCAUCACUGCCUCAAAUACCUCAGAAAACACAUCUGGGUGUCGCAAGGGACCACAUUUAGCAUCAACAAACUCCUCUUCCGCUUAUAUGGAUAUGGUUCAGAUGACAUUUACUAUGGCAAAAUGAACAUCGCAUGAAACAUAAAUGUCAUAUUAAAACACAUGAUCACAAAUACCAACUGUAGUAGCUAAUGCAUAAAAGUAUGCAGCUUUGAUUAAAAGGAAGCAAAUCUUCAACAAGAAUGACAAGAAGACUCAUGAAAUUCGAUCAAAUAAAUGUAUAAUUGACAGCCAUUUUGUUCAUGAAACUUGGCUCUUCCAGUUAAUUUCAGGCCUACAAUAGAAGCUGUGUGGCUAUUGAUCAACUAUUGAUAUUCUGAUUCAUCAAUUAGCCUCCAUUUAAUUUUCCUCUCCCUCAAAAUAUCUAGGCAGAACCAAAUUCUAGUGACAGUAUUUUUGAAAGAUUGAAACAGUACUUGCGGAGAUCAACAAUAAGUGCAAAUCGAGCUUUCAAUCUUCAACAAUGAACACCACCACCACCACCAACAACAAUAACAACCCAGUAUAAUCCCACUUAGUGGGGUCUGGGGAGGUAGUGUGUAUGCAGACCUUACCCCUACCCUGGGGUAGAGAGGUUGUUUCCAAAUAGACCCCCGACAUCCUUCCNNNNNNNNNNNNNNNNNNNNNNNNNNNNNNNNNNNNNNNNNNNNNNNNNNNNNNNNNNNNNNNNNNNNNNNNNNNNNNNNNNNNNNNNNNNNNNNNNNNNNNNNNNNNNNCCUCCAAGAACUUCCCACCUUGCUCUUGGGGAGAAUCGAACUCACAACCUCUCGGUUGGAAGUGGGGGUUGCUUACCAUCAGAGCAAUCCCUCUUGUCACCAACCAAUCUUUAUUAACAUGGAUGGGCAAAACUAGCAAACUGAUUUCAGCAAACAGUCAGAUAUGCACUUUUAAGCGUAAUCCGAGCAAGAUAACAGCUGCAAUGGUGCCAAUCUUAGCUAGAAGUGCAGAAGACCAUUCAAACUGAGGAUACAUAAAAAAACUAUUUCAAAUGUCUAGAUAGUCCUACAUUCCUAACGCUAGGGCAUGAAUGAAAAUUAUGCAUAACUCGACUGAUUCGCGACCAAUACACAAACCAACAUGAAAACUUUGCAAACACACGAGCCAUUUAAGCAUAGUAAACCAGCAAACAAACCAACAUGGGCCAAUAGUCAGAAUACUGCAUUUAAACUGACCAUCAACAGCCUAGAACAACUCUUAAACACCUCUUAAACAAGGUAGAUUUCAGAAUACUGCUUGCACAGUGCAAAACAGGCAGAUUUUCAGCAAAACUACAUGAGGCAAAUUUCUAUCAAGCUAACAUUCCAAACAAAUGUCCUACAAACUGAUUCUAACAGCAAAAGUCGUGUUUCACUAGCCCAAAUGGCCAAAAAUCAGAUUUGAUUUGAUCAAAUGCCAACAACAAACGAUAAGAUUCAGAAUAAAAACCAUAUUCCAAUGCAAAGAUAAGUACAAAGCAUCUCAAAAAAUGUGUGAGAUUAACAAAGAUGAUCCCUAUAUCUUAGUUUGUAAACCCCCAGAACAAGAGGGAGGAGCAGAGAGAAAAAUUUACCUGGAAAGAUUCCAUAUUGCUCGAUAAAUCAACCUUCGAUUUUGGGAGAGAGCUUAGAACAAAUGACAUGAAUCAACACCAGGAGCAACCGAACAAAAUAAAACACCUCGGAAGAACUGAACUAAUCACAAAAGAUGGCUCGACUAGGAUUUAACAGAGAAUCACAACAGUUCUAAAUAGACACCCAAAUUCAGGAAUCAGUUGACAUAUACACAGCCAAACCAAUCCAGAAACACUCGUGCAAAUCACAAACCAACAAAUUAUGACCAACAGUCACCAAGACUUAUACAAUUCUAAACCAGCUGAACUCAAACUCAAUACAUUUCUUAAUCAAAGAUAGGCUACAUGGGAUUAGAAAUGAACCCGAAUCAAUAAACACUCGCGAUUAACUUUGCUCGAACGUUGAAUACAAAUGAAAUCCAAUAGCUAGUAUCAGCAACCAGCAACAGAAAUGAGUAGGAAUCAGUUGACAUAUACACAGCCAAACCAAUCCAGAAACACUCGUGCAAAUCACAAACCAACAAAUUAUGACCAACAGUCACCAAGACUUAUACAAUUCUAAACCAGCUGAACUCAAACUCAACACAUUUCUUAAUCAAAGAUAGGCUACAUGGGAUUAGAAAUGAACCCGAAUCAAUAAACACUCGCGAUUAACUUUGCUCGAACGUUGAAUACAAAUGAAAUCCAAUAGCUAGUAUCAGCAACCAGCAACAGAAAUGAGUAGGAAUUAGAAGCUCAGACAGCGACACACUCAAGCAACUUUCAAUCGAACUCCAUUUUGAGAACCAAAAUCAAAACAAAUAUUGAAAUCUUUUGGUGAUUUUCUGAUUUCUUCUAAAAUGAAACUCAAGUAAAAAUCAAACUCAAACUAUUAUUUUUUGUAUUUUUGUUUUUCUGAAAAUGCAGUACCAACGUGAAGAGAAAGAAAACUAAGAACCCUAUAACUUUUUACCUCUCCGAAAAUUCUCUCCAAAACCCCCUAAUUUCUGAAAAACCUCACCUUAUAUAGACUUUGUAGCUCUUCUCGAACCUUCUCCGCACACCCCUCUAAAAGUUUUUGUAAUUUCUUUACUAUGAAUGAUAUUUUGGAGGGCAAGGAUUGAUUUUCAUCCAUCCACGACUGCCAUUUAUCCAGCGAAUCGAUCCGGAGCUAAACAAUGCGCAAAAAUCUCAGUAUGGAAUCUUCAAUUUGUCAGAAACCGUUACAUUGUGGUGAGAGGGAGAGAGGGGAACACGUGGGGAGAAAUCUGAGGCUCACUCACACAGAUUUUGGCUAAAAUAGGGGUUUGAUUCGAGUUUUUCUUUGGAGAAGAAGAACAGUCGCGUUUGGGAUUAGGGGUUUUGAGUCUUAAGUCUGUAUGAAUCCGUUCAUGUAUUUUGUGGAGAUGGGUCACGGUUUGGGGGUAUCUAGGCCGGGUCUGGGGUGGAAAUAGUUUGGGCUUGGGAGAUUAGAAUUAAAAAAAAAAAAAAACAAAUUUU